ensembl:lncRNA
GGCGCUCCUGUCCUCCGCAGGUGCUCGCUGUCCUCCAAUGGCACUCCACUUCUAUCCUCUGACAGCGCGCUAGUAACCUCCGCAGGUGUGCUUCCUCUAAUCUCCGCCGGCGCGUUGCAUCUAUACUCCGAUGGCGCUCCCGUCCGCCGCAGGUGCUCCCUGUUCUCUGCAGAUGCUCCCGUCCUCUGCAGGCGCUCGCUGUCCUCUGCUGGUGCUCCACAUCUAUCCUCCAAUGGCACACAACCUGUAACCUCCGCCAGGGUGCUACCUCUUAUCCUCUGCUGGCGCGCUACCUCUAUCUUCUGACGGUGCUCUGUCCUCGGCAGGCGCUCCCUAUUCUCCGCAGGUGCUCCCGUCCUCUACAGGUGCUUGCCGCCCUCAGCAGGUGCUCCACCUCUGUCUUCUGGAAGCGCGCUAUCUCUAAACUCCACUGACGCGCUACCUCUAUCGUCUGACGGUGCUCCCAUUCUCUGCAGACGUUCCCUGUUCUCCGCAGGUGCUCCCAUCCUCCGCAGAUGCUCCAUCACUAUCAUCCAAUGGCGCGCUACCUCUAUCUUCUGACAGUGCUCCUGUCAUCCGCCGGCACUCCCUGUUCUCCUCAGCUACUCCCAUCCUCCGCAAAUGCUCCACAUCUAUCCUCCGACGGCGCACUAUCUGUAACCUCCACCAGUGUCCUACCUCCUAUCUUCUGCUGGCGCUCUACCUCUAUCCACUGGCGGCACACUACGUCUAUCCGUUGCUGGUGUGUUACCACUAAACUCAGCCAGCGAGAUACCUCUAUCUUCUAACGGCGCUCCAGUCCUCCGCAGGUGCUUCCUGUUUUCCUCAGGUGCUCUCGUCCUCUGCAGGCACUCGCUGUCCUCCACAGGCACUCCACCUCUAUCAUCUGACAGAACACUACAUCCAACCUCGGCCGGUGCACUACAUCCAUCCUCCAAUGGCACGCUACCUCUAACCUCCGCUGGCGUGCUACCUCAAUCUUCUGACGGUGCUCCCAUCCCCCACAGGUGCCGCACCUCUUUCCUCUGCUGGCGCACUUCCUCAAUCCUCUGCCGGUGCACUACCUCUACACUCUGAUGAUGUUCCCAUACUGUGCAGGCAAUCCCUGUUCUCCACAGGUGCUCCUGUCCUCUACAGGCGCUCACCGUCCUCUGGAGGCAAUCCACCUCAAUCUUCUGAAGGCAUGCUAUUGCAAAACCCAGCCAGCGAAUUACUUCUAUUUUCUUACGGUGCUCCCAUCGUCCGCAGGCGCUCCCUGUUCUACGCAGGUGCUCCCAUCCUCCGUAGAAACUCCACCUCUAUCAUCGGAUGGCGAAACAGAACCUCCACCUUGAUGCUCCGACAGCGCACUACCGGUAACCUCCGCCUGUGCACUAUCUUCUACCUCUAUCUUCCGAUCGCGCUCCUGUCAUUUGCAGGCACACCUUGUUCUCUGCAGGUGCUCCCGUACUCCGUAGAAACUCCACCUCUAUCAUCGGAUGGCGCACUACAUCUAACCUCUGCCAGCAAACAAACUCUGUUUUCUGACGGUGAUCCCAUCCUCUGCAAUCACUCCCUGUUCUCCACAGGUGCUCCUUUCAACCACUGACAUUCUACCUCUAUCCACGAACAGCACACUACCUCUAACCUCCGAUAGCGCGCUAACUCUUAUCCUCUGCCAGGAUGCUACUGCUAACCUCCGACGGCGCACGACCUCUAUCUUCAGAUGGUGCUCCCGUCAUCUGCAGGUGCUCCCUGUUUUCCGCAGGUGCUCCUGUCCUCGGCAGAUGCUCCACCUCUAUCCCGUGAUGGCACACUACAUAUAACCUCUGCCGGCGCACUAAUUCUGUCUUCUGACGGCGCUCCUGUCCUCCACAGUCACUCCCUGUUCACCACAGGUGCUCCCAUCCUCCGCAGACCCUCAACGUCGAUCCAGUGACAGAGCACUACCUCUAACCUCUGCCAGCAUGCUACCUCUUUCUUCUGACAGCGCACCCAUCAUCUGCAGGCGCUCCUUGUUCUCCACAGGUGCUCCUGUCCUCUGCAGAUGCUCCACCUUUAUCCUCUGAUGAUGCACUACAUCUAACCUCUGCCGGCGCACUAACUAUGCCUUCUGACAGUGCUCCCGUCCUCCAGAGGUGCUCCCUGUUCUCCGCAGGUGCUACGAUCCUCCGCAGACCCUCCACCUCGAUCCUCUGAUGGCACACUACCUCUAACCUCUGCCGGCGCACUACCUCUAUCUUCUAACCACGCUCCCAUCAUCUGCAAGCAGUCUCUGUUCUCCGCAGAUGCUCUCGUCCUCCGCAAACGCUCCAACUCGAUCCUCUGAUGAUGCACUACAUGUAACCUCUGCCGGCGCACUAACUCUGUCUUCUGAUGGUGCUCCUGUCCUUGGCAAUCGCUUCCUGUUCUCCGCAGGUGCUCCCAUCCUCCGCAGAAGUUCCAGCUCUAUCCUCUGAGAGUGCACUACCUCUAUCCUCUGCCGGGGCACUAACUAUGCAUUCUGACAGUGCUGCCAUCAUCUACAGAUGUUCUGUGUUCUCUGCAGGUAACCCCAUCAACCACAGGUGCUUUACAUCUAUCCUCUGAAGGCACACUACAUCUAACCUCUGCCGGCGCACUAACUAUGCCUGCUGACAGCACUCCUGUCCUCCGCAGGUGCUCCCUGUUCUCAUGAGGUACUCCGAUCCUCCGCAGACACUCCACCUUGAUCCUCUGAUGGCACACUACCUCUAACCUCUGCUGGCACAAUACCUAUAUCUUCUAACCACGCUCCCAUCAUCUGUAAGCAGUCUCUGUUCUCCACAGAUGGUCUUGUCCUCCGCAGAUGCUCCAACUCGAUCCUCUGAUGAUGCACUACAUCUAACCUCUGCCGGCGCACUAUGUCUUCUGACAGCGCUCCUGUCCUCCGCAGGUGCUCCCUGUUCGCUGCAGGUGCUCCCAUCCUUCGCAGACCCUCCACCUCGAUCCUCUGAUGGCACAAUGCCUCUAACCUCUGCUGGCGCACUACCUCUAUCUCCUAACCACGCUCCCAUCAUCUGCAAGUGGUCUCUGUUCUCCGCAGAUGCUCUUGUCCUCCGCAGACGCUUCACGUAUAUCCUCUGAUGAUGCACUACCUCGAAACUCUGCCGGCGCACUACCUCUAUCUUCUGACAACGCUCCCGUCAUCUGCAGGCACUCCUUGAUCUCUGUAGGUGUUCCCGUCCUCUGCCAAUGCUCCACCUCAAUCCUCUGAUGAUGCACUACAUCUAACCUCUGCUGGCGCACUAACUAUGCAUUCCGACAGCCCUCCCAUCAUCUUCAGGUGUUCUAUGUCCUCCGCAGGUGCUCCGAUCCUCCGCAGACCCUCCACCUCGGUCCUCUGAUGGCACAAUACCUCUAACCUCUGCCGGCGCACUACCUCAAUCUUCUAACCACGCUCCCAUUAUAUGCAAGCCGUCUGUGUUCUCCGCAGAUGCUCUUGUCCUCUGCAGACGCUCCACAUCUAUCCUCAGACAGCGCACUACCUCUGACCUCUGCCGGCGCACUACCUCUAUCUUCUGACAAUACUCCUAACAUCUGCAGGCACUCCUUGACCUCCGCAGAUAAUCUUGUCCUCUGCAGACGCUCCACAUCUGUCCUCGGAUGAUGCACUACAUCUGACCUCUGCCAGCGCACUAACUCUGUCUUCUGAUGGUGCUCCUGUCCUUGGCAAUUGCUUCCUGUCCUCCGCAGGUGCUCCUAUCCUCCGCAGAUGCUCCACCUCUAUCCUCUGAAGGCACACUACAUAUAACCUCUGCCGGCGCACUAACUCUGUCUUCUGAUGGUGCUCCUGUCCUUGGCAAUCGCUUCCUGUUCUCCUCAGGUGCUCCGAUCCUCUGCAGACUCUCCACCUCAAUCCUCUGAUGACACAUUACCUCUAACCUCUGCCGGCGCACUACCUCUAUCUUCUAACCACGCUCCCAUCAUCUGCAAGCGGUCACUGUUCUCCGCAGAUGCUCUUGUCCUCUGCAGACGCUCCAACUCGAUCCUCUGAUGAUGCACUACAUCUAACCUCUGCCGGCGCACUAACUAUGUCUUCUGACAGCACUCCUGUCCUCCGCAGGUGCUCCCUGUUCGCUGCAGGUGCUCCCAUCCUUCGCAGACCCUCCACCUCGAUCCUCUGAUGGCACAAUACCUCUAACCUCUGCUGGCGCACUACCUCUAUCUCCUAACCACGCUCCCAUCAUCUGCAAGUGGUCUCUGUUCGCCGCAGAUGCUCUUGUCCUCCGCAGACGCUUCACGUAUAUCCUCUGAUGAUGCACUACCUCUAAACUCUGCCGGCGCACUACCUCUAUCUUCUGACAACGCUCCCAUCAUCUGCCGGCGCUCUGUGCUCUCUGCAGUUGCUCCUAUCCUCCGCAGAUGCUCCACUUAUAUCCUCUGAAGGCACACUGCAUCUAACCUCUGCCGGCGCACUAACUAAGCCUUCUGACAGCGCUCCCGUCCUCCGCACAUGCUCCCUGUUCUCCGCAGGUGCUCCUAUGCUCCACAGAUGCUCCACCUCUAUUUUCUGAAGGCACACUACAUCUAACCUCUGCCGGCGCACUAACUAUGCCUUCUAACAGCGCUCCCGUCCUCCACAGGUGCUCCCUGUUCUCCGCAGGUGCUCCGAUCCUCCGCAGACCCUCCGCCUCGAUCCUCUGAUGGCACAAUACCUCUAACCUCUGCCGGCGCACUACCUCAAUCUUCUAACCACGCUCCCAUUAUCUGCAAGCCGUCUGUGUUCUCCGCAGAUGCUCUUGUCCUCUGCAGACGCUCCACAUCUAUCCUCAGACAGCGCACUACAUCUGACCUCUGCUGGCGCACUACCUCUAUCUUCUGACAAUACUCCCAACAUCUGCAGGCACUCCUUGACCUCCGCAGAUGCUCUUGUCCUCUGCAGACGCUCCACAUCUGUCUCGAUGAUGCACUACAUCUAACCUCUGCCAGCGCACUAACUCUGUCUUCUGAUGCU